UGGAGUAUAGCCAAGCGGUAAGGCAUCGAUUUUUGGUAUCGAUAUUCAGAGGUUCGAAUCCUUUUACUCCAG
rnacentral:tRNA from 1 species